AAGUGCGAUAUAUAGUGCGAUCUGCAUGAAUCUGUGAGUCAUCUAGUAUUUGAACGCAACUUGCGCCGUUUGUAUGGCAUGUUCCAUCGAGUACCGAGUAAAUAGUUUUGUAGUAAUACAAAGAUAUGGCGUAUGUCUGUGGUGGUGAGGAUGAGAGUCCAAGGACCCCAGACUGUGCUGAAAUGGAGCAAGUGAAGGGUGAGGAUGUUCUCACGUGUGCUAGAGACAACUUGUCUUGUCACGCGGGGGCAGUCGUCUACUCUGAACAACCAAUCAAACAAACUGGUCUCGGUGGAGCAAGAUUACCCGCUGAACUUAA
rnacentral:misc_RNA from 1 species